GUGCUUGUUCGGCAGCACACAUACUAACAUUGGAACGAUACAGAGAAGAUUAGCACGGCCCCUGCACAAGGAUGACGUGCAAAUUCGUAAAAAGCACUCAUAUAUA